rnacentral:rRNA from 1 species
CCUACGUGAGGCUGCAGUGAGGAAUAUUGGUCAAUGGGCGCGAGCCUGAACCAGCCAAGCAGCGUGCAGGAUGACUGCCCUAUGGGUUGUAAACUUCUUUUAUAAAGGAAUGAAGUGAGGCACGUGUGCCUUUUUGUAUGUACUUUAUGAAUAAGGAUCGGCUAACUCCGUGCCAGCAGCCGCGGUAAUACGGAGGAUCCGAGCGUUAUCCGGAUUUAUUGGGUUUAAAGGGAGCGUAGAUGGGUUGUUAAGUAAGUUGUGAAAGUUUGCGGCUCAACCGUAAAAUUGCAAUUGAUACUGGCAGCCUUGAGUACAGUGGAGGUAGGCGGAAUUCGGGGUGUAGCGGUGAAAUGCUU